AUGGACCUACACGGCGGCGACCACUCCGUCUCUGACAGUCGCCAUCACCAGGUCGCCGCCGAGAUCGUCAGGGCCGGCAAGGAGUAUGGCUUUUUCCAGGUGGUGAACCACGGCGUGGUGCGGGGGUUCCGGGAGGCGGCGGCGGGGUUCUUCGCGAUGCCGGCAGAGGAGAAGCUCCCCUACUGCUCGUACCACAUGAGCAAGCGCUUCCAGCUCGCCAGCAGCACCUCCUAUGACCGCGACGAGACCCGCUACUGGCGCGACUACAUCAAGUUCCGCUGCUACCCGGCCUCCGACGAGAAUGCGCGCCACUGGCCGUCCAAGCCGGCCAACUUCACGCCCAGCCUCGUCGAUUCUGUUUAUUUGCGUUCGGAUCAGUUUAUGGAUCUUAGAACCUCCUGA
rnacentral:rRNA from 1 species